rnacentral:rRNA from 1 species
GGUUGUAAAGCACUUUCGCGUGGGAGGAAGGCGUUUAGGUUAAUAACCUUGUCGAUUGACGUUACCCGCAGAAGAAGCACCGGCUAACUCCGUGCCAGCAGCCGCGGUAAUACGGAGGGUGCAUGCGUUAAUCGGAAUUACUGGGCGUAAAGCGCACGCAGGCGGUCUGUCAAGUCGGAUGUGAAAUCCCCGGGCUCAACCUGGGAACUGCAUUCGAAACUGGCUGGCUAUAGUCUUGUAAAGGGGGGUAGAAUUCCCGGU